AGCGAACGCUGGCGGCAUGCCUAACACAUGCAAGUCGCACGGGGGGGCUUCGGCCUCCCAGUGGCGGACGGGUGAGGAACGCGUAGGGACCUGUCGAGGGGUGGGGGAUAACCGCGGGAAACUGCGGCUAAUACCGCAUGACGCCGCGGCGUGACAGCCGGGGCCAAAGGCGAAAGCCGCCCGCCGAGGGGCCUGCGUCCGAUUAGCUGGUUGGCGGGGUAGCGGCCCACCAAGGCGUCGAGCGGUAGCUGGUCUGAGAGGGUGAUCAGCCACACCGGGACUGAGACACGGCCCGGACUCCUACGGGAGGCAGCAGUGGGGAAUAUUGGACAAUGGGCGCAAGCCUGAUCCAGCAAUGCCGCGUGGGUGAAGAAGGUCUUCGGAUUGUAAAGCCCUUUCGGCGGGGACGAUGGUGACGGUACCCGCAGAAGAAGCCCCGGCUAACUUCGUG
rnacentral:rRNA from 1 species